GUAGGGGGCAAGCGUUGUCCGGAUUUAUUGGGCGUAAAGAGCGUGUAGGCGGUCAGGUAGGUCCGUUGUGAAAACUCGAGGCUCAACCUCGAGACGCCGAUGGAAACCAUCUGACUAGAGUCCGGAAGAGGAGAGUGGAAUUCCUGGUGUAGCGGUGAAAUGCGCAGAUAUCAGGAAGAACACCCGUGGCUAAGGCGGCUCUCUAGUACGGUACUGACGCUGAGACGCGAAAGCGUGGGGAGCGAACAGGAUUAGAUACCCUGGUAGUCCACGCCGUAAACGAUGGGUGCUAGGUGUAGGGGGKGUSGACUCCCUCUGUGCCGAAGCUAACGCAUUAAGCACCCCGCCUGGGGAGUACGGCCGCAAGGCUA
rnacentral:rRNA from 1 species